GUAUGUAUAUAUGUAUGUAUGUAUGUAUGUAUGUAUAUAUGUAUGUAUGUAUGUAUGUAUGUAUAUAUGUAUGUAUGUAUGUAUGUAUGUAUGCAUGCAUGCAUCAUGAUGAUGAUGCCAAAACAGGCAUUUUAAGUCUCUUGGCAAAAAUAUAUGGUGGUUGGUAGUGUUUUUUUUUUUUUUAAUUAGUGGGAGUAGCAGCCAGGGGUUCCACUUCCACCUGAAGGGACACAAAAAGAUGCAGGGCAUCCACCUCCCAGUCCCCCCCCCGGGGGCUUGUCUUUGAAGGACCAGGGAGACGGAGGGGGGUUGAAGAGCGUCAGAAAGAGAAGGCAGCCAGCAGGGACCCUCUCACUCUGCCCUAGAUCAACCGGCAUUCACCUUGCCUGCCUUCCUUCCCUCUGUGAUAGAUCCGGCUUCAGAGGAGCCCCCAGCCAGGGGGGGGGCAGCUCUCAGCCGGGCGGGGCGAGGGCUGAGUCAUCAGCCCCACACAAGCAGCAGCUGGGAAGGGCUGGAGCAGCUGAACUCCCUUAAGCGAUCAAGCCUGAGCAGCGAACGGAGGGGAGCAGAAAGCAGGCAGGAAGCUUUAUGGAAGCCCCAGGAAAAGACUCAUCAUCACCCUAAGAAGAAAGUGGGCCUUUGCCAACUUCAGGUGGAUUUUCUGGAGAGGUCAUCCUCCAUGGGACAUCCUACACAGGUACGGAUCCUAUUGAGUGCAAGCAGGACUGACUCCCAGAAAAUGGCUGGUAGGAUGGAGGCCCGAGGUCACCUACAAGCUACAGAGAAUCUGAAGAUGCAUGGGUUUAUUUUCUCCAAAAUCUUUCCAGGAGUUCCAGCUGUGACCAGUGGCUAA
rnacentral:lncRNA from 1 species